AACGCACAUUGCGCCCGUUAGCAUUCUAGCGGGCAUGCCUGUUCGAGCGUCAUUUCAACCCUCAGCUACCCCUCUUCUGGGCGUGCUGGUGUUGGGGCUUCCUGCGGCUAUCGCAGGCCCUGAAAAUUAGUGGCGGGCUCCGCUAUACUCCGAGCGCAGUAGUAAAUCUCGCUUAGGGUGUAUAGUGGGGAUAUCUAGCCUCCUUUAUACCUAUAUUUAAUGGUUGACCUCGGAUCAGGUAGGAAUACCCGCUGAACUUAA
rnacentral:misc_RNA from 1 species